GCCCUCCCCACUUCAGGGACCGCCCACACGCAAGAUGGCACCUUGCAGUAUGAAGUGGUCAGGUGAAAGCACCUUCCACAGUACCCUUCACUGAAGAAACAACAAUUUCGUUUAAAAAGGCCAGCAAAGUAAGACCAUAAGACCAGAGCUCAGGCAGACUGCUCCACGGAGACUGGCCAGCUCAAAUCCAGGUCCCAACACAUGAGACCAAGGCUGAAUUUCUUUCCCAGUACAACCAUGGAGCCAAUACUGGUCUGACUUAAUCAAUAUGGCUUCAACUUGACCUGGAACCGGCUUUUCUUCUCGAGGUACUGCUGGAUUUGAAGAGCUUCAUUUUCUUUAUCAAUUGAAAUACUGUCACAGGAAGGUCCACUUUAUUUUGGUCUCCAUAAGCAGAGGUUUCAAAGUUUUUUAGUUAGAUGUUUUCUUGAUCCCAUUUCCAAAUAAUUUCCAACCAACUCCUUAGUUUCCUUACACAGGAUUUGAUGUUUUUGAUUUUGUUUUUCUGAAUGUAAAGCAUUCAUUGCCAAACCAAUUCCUGGGCUUUACUUUACUUAAAACAUUCUUUUCAGUUUUGGAAUAUGCUGUUUUCUUAAUGUCACCAUGUUAAGUUAUACUAUAGAUCUUAAAACCAUUUGUAAUGGUGUUGAUCUAUGUGUAUAGUUCAGCCCUGCAAAGGGAAGAAAUGCGUUUGUUGAUAGUUCUGAAGUUGUCAUGAUGUAUCGUCUUAGCUGGCUUGCCUAGUUAGCCUACAUUCAGGAGUAAAUAUCACCAAACGAUGGGCUGACUGGUUGUUAAAGGUCCCAUACUGUAGAAAUUAAGAUUUCCAUGUUUUGUUUUGUUUUUUUUUUAUUAUAAAAAGGUUUAGGUAUCAAAGUAUCUAAGUAAGUAAUUAGUAAAGUAUGUUAGUAUGUACAGGUUUGGUUCAGAUUGUGGAGUCCCCAUAAUACAGAUUCAUGUCCCCACUACAUUGUUGAUACAAGAAGAAACGCACACCUAAACACAUAUUAAUCUCUCCAAUAAAAACCUUUAUUUUUA